AGAUUCCUGAGAUGUUCGACAGCCUAUUAUUUUGAACCUACAUCACAUAAACGGGAGCCUUACAAUGUCAAACCAACAUCGGGCCUCAACAAAAGCGGAGGAUGGCGGCGGUAUGGCUGCGGGCAACCCACCUGGCUUAGGCUAGGUUGUCAAAAUAUAGGAACGGCAUUUUGGGUGUUCA
rnacentral:other from 1 species